rnacentral:lncRNA from 1 species
AUUUGAUAACUUCCCUAAGAUGGAAUCAUUGUGGCUCUUGUAGUUAGAAAUUUGUCAUAAUAAUAUUCUUUUCAUACCUUAGCUUGAUCAAAUGAGGAAGCAACAUUGGCCGGUUGGACCUCCUUCACAAACAUCUUCAAUUCUAGUGGAUAUAGUCUGUUAACCAAUAUAGAUAAAAUAAAUGAAUCCUGCAUUUGGUU